rnacentral:rRNA from 1 species
UACGUAGGGAGCAAGCGUUGUCCGGAAUCAUUGGGCGUAAAGCGCGCGUAGGUGGCUUCGUAAGUCCGUUGUGAAAGUCAAAGGCUCAACCUUUGAAAGCCGAUGGAUACUGUGAAGCUAGAGUACGGAAGAGGCGAGUGGAAUUCCUGGUGUAGCGGUGGAAUGUGCAGAUAUCAGGAAGAACACCCGUGGCGAAGGCGGCUCUCUGGGACGGUACUGACGCUGAGACGCGAAAGCGUGGGGAGCGAACAGG